rnacentral:lncRNA from 1 species
CGCCUCCCCCGGGGCCAUCACCCCCGCCCCGGCGGUCCUCUUCUCCCCCCAAGGGAUCCCUUCCGGCCGUUCUCUCCUUCCGCCCCUCCCCCGAGGGAGGCUCUGCCCCCACCUCCCGCAGUGCCAUUCCCAGCCCCUCCCCCCCCCCCCCCGCCACGAGUGGCAGUUCUUUCAACCAAUCCUCCUCCCCCCGCGGCUACGGCUGUUCUCCCAGUCCCCUUCCCCGCCCCCCGCGGCUACGGCUGUUCUCCCAGUCCCCUUCCCCGCCCCCCGCGGCUACGGCUGUUCUCCCAGUCCCCUUCCCCGCCCCCCGCGGCUACGGCUGUUCUCUCUUCCCUGCCUCCCCCCGCGGGUACAUCUUCCCUCCCCCCCGACGCCCCACUCUCCCCGGCCUCCAGCAGGGCCAGGGACCACGGCCCUCCAGUCCUUUGUCCAGGUCUAGCGGGAUUUCGGAUAGGGCCAGACCGCGGGGCGAAAACUAGGCCCUCCAUCCCGACUCCAGCUCCCGCCGCCGGCUUCUCCCCCGCCACUACAGUCCCGGGUCACAAGCUCUCCCCGCCCUUCCUUACCCAGGCCGCCCCCGGGGCAACUCCUACCUCCCUCCCUGGGCAAAAUGUGGAGGAGAGGGGCGGGGCACCCGAUCCGAUCGCGAACUCGGAAUUCGAUUGCUUCCCCUUGCCUGGAGAAGAAAGAAGCGAACAAGGGGCGUGGGGGAGGGGAAGGAGCCCGCACGCGCUCUCCCGGAGCUGCUGGGGGAGGGGCUGGGAGCGCGCGCGCGCGCGGCCGCGCGGAAGGAGAGAAGCAUGCGCACUGAGCGGGGCAGUCUUUGAAAGGCUCUUGUGGAAGCCUGGGAGGAAAGCCUGGGAGAGGGAGCGGUACUUGAGGGCCACCUGGAGGAGGGGAAGAAUCGAGCCAACAAUCCCAGACUCGGAGCCGGAAAAGACUCCUCUUCCCCCCCUCCCCCUCCCCCACCCCCGGGUCCCCCACCCGCAGCUCUCCCCGCCCCGAAGCCCAUCCUCGCGCCUGACGAGCCGUUGUCCAGCUUUGUUUAAAGGCCUUUAG